AUUCCAGCUCCAAUAGCGUAUAUUAAAGUUGUUGUGGUUAAAAAGCUCGUAGUUGGAUCUCGGCGGUCUGAGGGCGGUUCGCUUCAGAGCGCUACUGCCCUAUAGACCGUAGUUUUGCCAGAGGUCUCAGGGUGCUCUUAACCGAGUGUCUUGCGAUGCUGGCAGGUUUACUUUGAAAAAAUUAGAGUGCUCAAAGCAGGCUUUUACGCCUGAAUAUUCGUGCAUGGAAUAAUAGAAUAGGAAGUCGUUUCUAUUUUGUUGGUUUUCGGAAAUCGACUUAAUGAUUAAUAGGGAUAGUCGGGGGCAUUCGUAUUCAAACGACAGAGGUGAAAUUCUUGGACCGUUUGAAGACGAACUAAGGCGAAAGCAUUUGCCAAGAAUGUUUUCAUUG
rnacentral:rRNA from 1 species